GAAGGUAUAGCUCAAGUGUAAGAACACAUGCUUAGCAUGCACAGGGUCCUGGGUUCAAUCCCCAGUACCUCCU
rnacentral:tRNA from 1 species